GCCUAGUCAUGUAAGAGGUAGUGCAACUACGGACAUUACAUAAAUCCAGCAGCAUCUUAGUCUUCUUUUACAUUGUUGAAAGUUACUCUCCAGUUGUUUCACACUUUCAGCAUCUACAUUAUGCAAAUACAACAUUAUUGUAGACAUCUGCCACGGUAUUGUUCCAAUCUUAACACUGUAUGCCAAUGAUUUAAUACAUAGAAAUGUUACAGAAAAUUGGAGCAACAGAAGAAAAUUUACAGGUUGGGUAUUGAUGCCAAAAGUUAUACAAGUAUGAUAAACCUUCGAAGGUGAGUUAGCUCUUUUGUUUCUCCUCUUCUUGAUCUUUCUCACCCUUCUCUAUUUUCAGUUCAAUUUACUGUACGUCUCACAAAACCUGCUCACUUGGACUGAGGCAAUGAAUGAAAUGGAGGCUGUUUUGCUACAUAGAUUAAAGAAGUAUAUGGUAGCACAAAGAGUGGGCGCUCAUCCUAAGUGAAAGACAAUGUACAACUUCUUAAUUCAUUCCCUAUUUCAGUCAUUUUUCAACAUCUCAGCAGCCAGUCACCUUUAUGUGUGUAUUUGUAUAAUGCAUGUGAAAGAGAGACAGCAAGGACGGGAGGGAAGAAGUUUCCUUCUCAAAUAGGAUGAGCAGGGAGAGAGUACGGUGUAAGGGGCUAACGGAAUAAGGGCAAUAUGCCCCACUGGUGCAGGAAGCCUUCUCCAGUUGUUACUUCUAGCACCAGCAGCACAAGAACUGCCAACAUAGCUGCUCUUCCAUUCCACGUUUCAGCACUUCUUGUCCAACCCCAUG
rnacentral:misc_RNA from 1 species